AGCAAGGAGAGUCAGAAAAGACGAGAGCCGCUGCAGCUGCUGCCGGGAUCCGACUGAACGCGGCCUCUCCCGGCCCCUUCCGUUUAGCCUCCCAGCGCCACAUUGCAUGCUGGGAAACGUAGUCCGAAGCAGCCACGAGGGGCGGGGCCAUGGCACGGAGAGCGCGCCCAUUGGCCCAAUUUUCCAGGAAACGCUCAGCUGAGCAAAGGGCCCCGGCUCUAGGUAAUGGGACCCGAAAAUGAGUCGUCGACCUCGCCGCUCUUUAUCCGCAGCGAAACUGUUUCCUAAGAUCCAUCUUGGCACUUUCUGGUCUGAAAAUUUUGCUUUUCUGAAUUGAAGCAACUUAUUCAUUGACCUGGAAUCCAGUCCUAGAGCAAGGAGAAUAGAAAGUGUAAGGCGUCUUCAAUAAAAAAUUUCUUGAGCACCCUUCAUGUGCAAAGCCACUUGCAUACUGAGAAAAGGCUAUCUGCAACUUCGAUUAAAUUAGAACAAGAAAAAAAAAAACCACCAGGGAAAGGCUACAAGGAA